rnacentral:rRNA from 1 species
AGCCUACGGGGGGCAGCAGUGAGGAAUAUUGGUCAAUGGCCGGAAGGCUGAACCAGCCAAGCCGCGUGAAGGACGAAGGUGCCAAGCAUUGUAAACUUCUUUUGUCAAGGGACAAAAUCAGGCUCGAGAGCCUGACCGAGGGUACUUGAAGAAAAAGCAUCGGCUAACUCCGUGCCAGCAGCCGCGGUAAUACGGAGGAUGCGAGCGUUAUCCGGAUUUAUUGGGUUUAAAGGGUGCGCAGGCGGGAGAUCAAGUCAGCGGUAAAAUGUCGGGGCUCAACCCCGGCCGGCCGUUGAAACUGGUUU